AUCGAACGCUGGCGGCAUGCUUUACACAUGCAAGUCGAACGGCAGCGCGGGCUUCGGCCUGGCGGCGAGUGGCGAACGGGUGAGUAAUACAUCGGAACGUGCCCAGUAGUGGGGGAUAGCUCGGCGAAAGCCGGAUUAAUACCGCAUACGACCUGAGGGUGAAAGCGGGGGAUCUUCGGACCUCGCGCUAUUGGAGCGGCCGAUGGCAGAUUAGCUAGUUGGUGGGGUAAAGGCCUACCAAGGCGACGAUCUGUAGCUGGUCUGAGAGGACGACCAGCCACACUGGGACUGAGACACGGCCCAGACUCCUACGGGAGGCAGCAGUGGGGAAUUUUGGACAAAGGGCGAAAGCCUGAUCCAGCAAUGCCGCGUGUGUGAUGAAGGCCUUCGGGUUGUAAAGCACUUUUGGCGGGAACGAAAAGGACUGUGCCAAUACCACGGUUCGAUGACGGUACCCGCAGAAUAAGCACCGGCUAACUACGUG
rnacentral:rRNA from 1 species